UACGUAGGGGGCAAGCGUUGUCCGGAAUUAUUGGGCGUAAAGAGCUUGUAGGCGGUUUGUCGCGUCUGCUGUGAAAAUCCGGGGCUCAACCCCGGACUUGCAGUGGGUACGGGCAGACUAGAGUGUGGUAGGGGAGACUGGAAUUCCUGGUGUAGCGGUGAAAUGCGCAGAUAUCAGGAGGAACACCGAUGGCGAGGGCAGGUCUCUGGGCCACUACUGACGCUGAGAAGCGAAAGCAUGGGGGAGCGAACAGG
rnacentral:rRNA from 1 species